CGAAAUUUAAUUCCAACAAAGCGUACAAGUUAUAAUACCUAAAAUGAACAUGGCCAUAAAUUACUGAACAUUACACUAGAGCUCAAAACGAUUGAUCGGGUCACACCUCCUUUUUGCUACUGCAACCCCGCGAAGGGCGUAGAUAAGGGACAAUUAAAGGACAAUCGAAUCGAGAUUAAAUUAUUUAAGAGAAUUUCAGAGUCGCCACUUGGGAGAUUUAUGUUGUCACAAGUCACCAGUUAGAAUCCCGAAUCGAGGAAAGAAUGACUCUGCUUAAUAAUCCACGAACCAGAAAUCCGGGUAAGGAAU
rnacentral:lncRNA from 1 species